CCUCAACCAGGAAGUACGGCGGCCCAAAAGGAAUUGAAGGCGUAUACGAGCUGUAUUCAGUCAUCUUGAAAAUUGAUCACAACAAGCCAAUUCUGAGGUCUUAUAAUUAGUAGCCAAACAUUUCCACAUCAAUGGAGCCCACAUAGGAAGACAAGAAAAGACUCUCCAAGAACUCAUGGAAUCGCUACACUCCCUCACACAACAAGUAUCCCUCCUUUCCUCGAUGAUGCCAUCCAAACUUCCACCUCAAACCAGAUUCCCCGUCUCGACUUUACUCACCCCCCUCCAGCCCUGACAAACCGGAACCCAUCCUUCCUUCCUCGUGCUUCGAUGGAGCAGUCACUUGGCAGAUCGAACAGGUGGUUAAGGACGCCCAAAAGACUCACCCGGAUCCCAAGACCGGGCCUCCUGUUCGUACCCGAUUCCGCAUGCUCUGACGUUUUUCAGUGGGCUCACAACUCCAAACUCACCUGUCAUCACUGGUAUCACCCGCACCAUUCAGUUCAUCCAGCAGCAUUUUUGGUGACCCAGCCUGUUUCAAGACACCCAGGAGUUCGUCCAAGCCUCUGUGCCCGAGGGAAGUCUUCACACCUGCCCCCAGCUGGGCUGCUGCGUCCACUUCCUAUCCCGAGCCGCCUUUGGUCCCAUAUCGCUCCGGACUUUGUUACCGGUCUAUCUCCUUCUGAAGAGUUUUUCAUGGAAGAGCUUACGGCGUUCCCACGGUAACCAGUCUCCCUAUUUUGCGCCGUGGAACGUGCAAAAAGCAUCCCGCAUCCAAAGUCAGACAUGCAUCUUCGGGAAAUGACCCCUGAAGAUUCAAGGAAACAAUACGGUGAUGGCGUGUACGCCUUCAAAUGGGUCGUGAUGAGAUCCACAGUUGUGUUUUGGAUGCAGACGUCAGCCUCCUACCAAAUAACUAAGCAAAACCGCUCAUUUGUCACGUGAUGUACGCACGUGCACAGCUGCAGCUCAGACACAGAUGCUGUUCAAAUGUAUUGUUUCAAUUUUCAUUGGCAAAAGCCAUAUACAUUUUGCACAUCUGAGGUCAUUUAAUUGGAUGAUUUUAUUUGAAAUGUCAACAAUUUAUGAACAUUUUGAACACCUCAUGCCAUUACAAUGUGUUCCUUAAAGGUCCCGUGCCAACAAAAUAUUUUUUUUUUGCAUUGUUUUAUGCAUAACAUAGGUCAUAAUGGGUCUGUGACAGGGUUUAAAUUUGACAUCUAUGUGGUUUGUCGAUUGAAUGCAAAAGGCAAUAAAGAUAUCUGUGUUUGUGAUAUGGAUAGUGACCAAUUAUUCAAGUAGCUGACCACGUUAGGGUUUGUACCCACGCAUUCAACUCAUUUAAAUAUGUCAUCUAAAUUUAAAUGUGCACUAUUAGUGUACAUAUUGCACGUCUGUGUUGUUGCUGGAGGGAGGAAAACAACCUUUCAAUUCUUCUGCAUUGCAUGCCCUGAAUAUAUUGACAAUUAAGGAUCCUUAAAUUCCUUUAAAAAAAAAAAAAAAAAAGGAAAGAGGCUGUUUCUAAACCUUGGCCAUCCCUCCCUGACACAGGUGAGUAGAAGCUGAAUACUGGGAAUGCGUUUUCACUGUUUCCACAGCAACUACAGUAUUGCGUUUCUCUCGCAGCAGUGAGCGCCGGUCCAAGGACAUGUCACUUCCUGUGAGCAACUUACAUAUUUACUUGCAUGCUUGCCAGUUCAAGAAGGACAAUGACGGUGAUGGCAAGUCUGUCAUGCAAUCCUGGCUUGACACUCUAACCUUUGCUUGAAACCCAAACUCUAAAAUGUAACCCUCACCCCAACUGGAAACCCUCAUUUUAAAUCCUAUCCUUCGCU